rnacentral:rRNA from 1 species
GACGAACGCUGGCGGCGUGCUUAACACAUGCAAGUCGAACGGGAUUUAGUAAACAGAAGCCUCGGUGGAAGAUUACUAAUGAGAGUGGCGAACGGGUGAGUAACGCGUGAGCAACCUGCCUAUGACAGUGGGAUAGCCUCGGGAAACCGGGAUUAAUACCGCAUAAAAUCGUAGAAACACAUGUUUUAACGGUCAAAGAUUUAUCGGUCAUAGAUGGGCUCGCGUCUGAUUAGCUAGUUGGUGAGAUAACAGCCCACCAAGGCGACGAUCAGUAGCCGGUCUGAGAGGAUGAACGGCCACAUUGGAACUGAGACACGGUCCAAACUCCUACGGGAGGCAGCAGUGGAGAAUAUUGCACAAUGGGGGAAACCCUGAUGCAGCGACGCCGCGUGAACGAAGAAGGUAUUCGUAUCGUAAAGUUCUGUCCUAUGGGAAGAUAAUGACAGUACCAUAGAAGAAAGCUCCGGCUAAAUACGUG